rnacentral:rRNA from 1 species
GUGGGGAAUUUUGGACAAUGGGGGCAACCCUGAUCCAGCCAUGCCGCGUGCGGGAAGAAGGCCUUCGGGUUGUAAACCGCUUUUGUCAGGGAAGAAAUCCUUUGGGUUAAUACCUCGGAGGGAUGACGGUACCUGAAGAAUAAGCACCGGCUAACUACGUGCCAGCAGCCGCGGUAAUACGUAGGGUGCGAGCGUUAAUCGGAAUUACUGGGCGUAAAGCGUGCGCAGGCGGUUUUGUAAGAUCGAUGUGAAAUCCCCGGGCUCAACCUGGGAACUGCAUUGGUGACUGCAAGGCUGGAGUGCGGCAGAGGGGGAUGGAAUUCCGCGUGUAGCAGUGAAAUGCGUAGAUAUGCGGAGGAACACCGAUGGCGAAGGCAAUCCCCUGGACCUGUACUGACGCUCAUGCACGAAAGCGUGGGGAGCAAACAGGAUUAGAAACCCGGGUAGUCC